GUGUGUGUGUGUGUGUGUGUGUGAUAUUCUUAUGAUCUACAAAUUAAUGAUGGGUGGGUAAAUCUCAAUCUUUUAGUGGAAUUACAAAUUGAUCAAUUAAAUUAUUAACAUUCAUCAAAAUAACCUUUAUUUUUGAAAAUAACCAAAGAUAUUUUCAAAUGUGUAAAAUGUUAUUCAAAAUGACCAUUUAUUACCUUAUUUAGUUUGGGGCUAUAAUGUAACAUGUUAAAUUGCACCUUAAUUCAACAUCAAUUUUUGUUCAUUAGAGAUUAAUUUGUUUAUUAACUUCUUGACACUUUAGAGAUAAAUGUGUAGGUAAUGGAAAGUGUACAAAGACUAAUUAUUAGAAAGUUAGGCUUACAAGACAUUAAUUUUUUAGACAAAAUAGUCUACAAUGGAAGACUAAUUAUUAGAAAGUUAGACGUUUUUUUAAACAAAAUAGUCUACAAUGGGAUGACAUUGAUGUGAGAUCUGUUAGUGCUAGUGCAUUUGGAUGAAAAGAAUGAGAGGAUAUGCAAGUGAAAAGGAUAAGAGAUUGUAGUAUUGAAAUUUAUGUUUAAUUUCUUACAUGUUAAGUAUUGAAAUGUAUGUAUAUUUACUUGCAAUACUAACAACAACUUAAAUACUUACGAUUUGUUUGCGAGUUUAGAGGAGAGGGGAAGGCUAUUGUAAACGAAAUUUUAAAAAAAUAUAGGAAAAUAUUUGACAUUUAAAAAAAAUGAUUUUGUUUAGAAUGAUAAAAAAGUCAUUAUCAUUACUAUAUUUUUAAUUUUCAGAAUACUAUAACAACCUAAAAGAUAUUUGGAAAAUUUAUGUAAGUCAUCCAAAACCCUCAUUCAAUACAAUUUUUCAGUUACCCAUUUUAGGGGGUUUUUGGUAUUACAAAUAAAAUCGAACGCUCCAAAACCCUCCUACCCAAAAUCUUUCUAUUCUUCUCACUCAAUCCUUCCUAUUUUUCAAAGUCCUCCCCCUCCCUUCCCCUCCAAACUCGCAAACUAAUCCUUAGUAAUUGGAUUAUAUUACAACAUCCCCUUAUAAUCUAAUUAUGCUGAUCACGAUCUUAACAGUCAAUUUGUACAAGACCUAAAAAAUUUCUUAAAGCUAAAAAAAAUUCAACUUUUAGUCCCUUAGUAAGAAUGUCUGCAACUUGUGAUUCACUUGAGCAAUGUCUUACUUCAAGUUCACCUUGGUUUACCUUCUCCCUCAAGAAAUGACACCUUGCUUCAAUGUGUUUAAUUCUGCCAUGUAGAACUGGGUUCCUUGCAAGAUUAAUAGUUGAAUUGUUGUCAAUCUGUAGCACCAGUUGUCUCCUAACAUGGACCUGCACUUCAUCAAGCAUAUACUUGAUCAAGAUGGCUUGACAAGCAGCCUAAGAUCCUACUAUGUAUUCUGUUUCGCGUAAGGACAAUGCCACCACACGUUUCUUCCUUGAACACCAUGAAAUUAGAGCACCCAACACCUGAAAGAAAUAUUCAAUUGUGCUUCUUCUAUCCUUAUUGUCUCUAUACUAAUCAGCAUCACAAUAGCAAUUGAUCAGGGCCUCUUUGCCUUCACAUGAUUGUGGAAACAUGAUUCCACAAUUGAGUGAUCCUUUACGAUAUCUUAGGAUUCUCUUUGUAGCCUUCAUGUGUGACACUCUACAUUCAUCCAUGUACAUUCUUACUAGUCCCACUAAGAAGCCUAUAUUAAGUAUGAUAUUGCACACAUACCACAAGAAUCUUAUAACUUUCUUGAAUAGAGUGACAACAACGUUGUCCUUAUCUUCAUGCUUUUCAAGUUUCAAAUUUGGUUCAAUAGGUGAAUAUGCGGGAUAUGAAUCAAGCAUUAUGAAUCUCUUGAGGAUUUGUUAAAUACUUCCUUUAAUGUAGAACCAUACCAUUUUUGGUCCUUUGGAACUCUAUACCUAGUUUACCUCAAUAGCUUUGGUGUUUGCUGGCAACUUGACUAUUUCCCAUGUAUUGUUUCUUUCUAUGGAUUACAGUUCUUCAAUCAUGGUUUCUUUCCAUUAUUUGUUCUUCAACUCAUUGUAGUUGAUGGGCUCAACACCAGUAAGCAAAGAAAAAUGAACCAAGUCUCCAUCUAUUGUGACUUCAUCAUCACCAACCACUUCACAGUCGUAAAUUCUUGCUGGAGUAAUCAUGGUUCUUUGAGGCCUUUGUGAUGUGGUUGCUACAUCCUGUUGGAUUACUUCAUUUCCAUGCUCGAGAUCUUCUGCUUCCAUAAUUGGAGUUUCAAUAAAAUAAUGUUCAUCAACUAGAGUCUCAUUUUGCUCACUACUAUCUUCAUAAAAUAUAUUACUCAUCAACCACAAUUAAAAUGCUCACUAGAAUAUUGCCAGUGAAUGGAUUGAAUAACAUGUAAGCUCCAGUCUUGUGAUAACCUACCAGAAUUAUACGUUCACUUUUGUCAUAAAGUUUUCUUCUCCUAGCAUCAAGAACAUGUCUGUAACAAAUGGAACCAAAAACUUAUAGAUGACUCGCAGAUGGUUUCUUGCCACUCCACACUUCAUCAGGGACCUUGUUCUUUAGUAUUUUGGUAGGGCAUCUAUUUAACACAUAAGCAGCACCGGUGACUCCUUCACCCUAUAGAGAGUUUGGUAAGUUCUUUUGUUUCAAAAUACAUUUGGACAUACCUAAUAUACUUCUAUUACUUCUCCCAGCUGUUCCAUUGUGUUAAGGGGUGUAGGGAAUAGUUUCUUUAUGAUUAACUAAAUGUUCUACAUGAAAUUCCUUAAACAGCUUGGAUGUAUAUUCACCACAUCCAUUUGUUCUUAGAACCUUAAUCAUCUUUUCACUUUGAGUUUCAACCAUUAUUUUAAAUCUUUUAAAGAUUACACUUCAUAUUUAUGUCUAAUCAUGUAGACCCCUAUUUUUCUACUGUUAUCCACAACAAAUGAUACAAAUUAUUUGUUGCUUCCAAUAGUAAUAUUCUCAAAAGGACCACAUACAUCUAAAUUAUAGUAUUCAAGAUGACCCCAUUGGCAUAUGAGAUAUGAUAACUUUCUAGAUUGCUUCCCUACCUAGCAACCCUCACAAAUUUUGUUAGGCAUGACAAGACUUGGUAUACCAAUUACCAUGUCAUGAGUAAUGAGUUGAUUGAGUGGCCUAAUGAUUAAAUGGCCAAACCUUAAGUGUCAUAGCCAACUCUUCUUGUGCUCUACAAUUUCAUUCACACAUUGAACCUCAAUUGAAUUGAUAAUGGUCUUAAAUGUUUAAUUUUUGGAUAGGGGAGAUUUCAAUACCAACCUAUUGUAAAAAUCAAACAACUCAAAAUCUCCAUUCUUCAUGUCCACUGAGAAGCCUUUUUCAGCCAUUUAUCCAACACUCAAUAGGUUGUAUUUCAUCCUAGGCACAUAAAACACAUCCUUGAUUAUGGCUUGUGCUUCAUUGCUUCUUCGAAUAACCAUGAUGCCUUCUCCUUUUGCUUAUAAUAAGCUACCAUGAGAAAGCCAAGUCUUUAUUUUCUUAGUGUCAUUAAAGUAUGGUAGCCAAGUUCCAUGACCAGUCAUGUGGUUUGAGCAACAUGUAUCCAAAAACCAGGUUUUGGAAUCCACAUGUUCAUCUGAGACUACAGCCAUAAGCACCAUGGUGUCAGAGUCAUCUGAAUCUUCUUGUGAAACAUUUGCUCCUUCAUCAUGCUUUUCCUUUGUAGCUCCCUUGCCAUUCUUGUAUCGGAAGUUCUUGGCCACGUGUCCCCAUUUUUCUUAGAUAUAGCAUUGCACGUUUUUCUUUUCUAGUUUGUCUUUGUGAUGUGAGGCUCCUCUUUUGAGGAUUCACAAGCCAUAUAAUCAACCUUUUUCUUUUAAAAAUGCAACUAAUAAAUCCUUUUUACCUAAGUAUUGUCUCCUUUCCCCUUAAACUUGUUGGAACCUCCAUGCUUGUUUCUUGUUUGGGCUUGCAAUCCAUGUAUCGAGUCUCGAACAUCCUUUCUCUUGAUUAUCCUUAAUUCAUGAGCCUUCAAUGAACCAACAAAAACUGUCAACUUCAGUGUGUCAAGAUUGUUGGAUUCUUGAAUAGCCACGGUAACACGAUCAGAGAGAGGUCAACAUUCACAUUAACUUCUCAACUAUCAUCUUAUCAAUCAAAUUUUUGCCACAUCCUUUCAUGAGGUGAACAAGAUUUUGCAUCUUGAAUACAUAGCUCUCCGUCUUCUCGUCUUCUCGUCUUCUCCCAUCUGUAGUAAGUAGUAACUGUGAAUACAAGAUUACACUCAAAGAGGUUUUUGAUUUAUGGCAAACUCAAAUGAGCAUUCAAACAACAAGGAGGAAUCAGAAAAGCAAAGCAUUUGAUCACUCAUGAAAGCACAAGGUGAUCCACUAUGCAUAUAAGUCGACUCAACACAAGCUGGACAUGAAAAAUGCAGAAAAUCAGCAGUUAGGUCGACCUACUGUCAAUCUAGGUCGACCUAAAAUGAAGGAAAAUCCAUAUACCUCUGCUAGGUCGACUCACAGACCAUUUAGGUCGACUCAAAAUGAAGAAAUCUUCAUAUCAGUCUGCUAGGUCGACCUACAUGGCAACUAGGUCGACCUAAUCUGUGAAAAUGUCCCCAGAAUGCAUCAGAAGAGGAUUCUGGUCGACCUACUCCUUCAACAGGUCGACCUAACUGGGAGCAAAAUUCUGCAAGCUCUGUUAGGUCGACCUAAGCACUACAAGUGGUCGACCUAACUGAUCAAGAAAGUUCAAAAAUCAGUUUUUCUUGAUUCUAACUGUUAUGAAAUCAUAUAUAUUGUACAAGGGUAAUUAUUCAAGCAACACCAACGACUGAAAGAUACACAAACGCUUCUCAUCUUCGUUCUUCAUCAUCUCCAACACAAUUACACAUAAUCAUUCUUGCGUUGCGGGUUAGUGAUGAGUUCGAUAACGUCCAUGGAACGGAAUUGAAGAUUCCUAGUGGGUGAAGGUUUGUGGGGUUUGUUGGUGAAUAAAAUCUGCGGGUUUUGUCCUCCACGACGGGUGGUUCUUGGGGGUUUUUAUCAAGAGGCGUUCAUUGAGGAUUCGGCUGAGUGUAACGAUUGAGGAACGGGGAGUUCAAGGAAUCAAGACACUGCAGAAGGGAAUCAAAGUGAAGCUCUUGGAUAACCUUGAUCUGGCUCAAGAUUAAGGGGGAAGAAGAUUCAAAGGAUCGACAUAAUUGGUUUAUCGUUUAUCGCUUUGUUAUCUUCUUUGUAUAUACUACUUUCAACAUUAAUGAAAGAUUACCCAAUUUCAAUUUGGAAUUGGGGGCAGACGUAGUCGUAGCGAGGACGAUCGACGAACUGCCUAAACAAAUAUCGUGUUCUUGUCGCUUUUACUUUCUCUUUUACUUUCUGUUCAUAAUUGGUUAUAAGUGCAAAAUUGAUCAACGAUUCAAGUGUUAAAAUUGUGAAUUAAAGUUCUGCACAAACAUCACAAUUCACCACAACUUGAAUCACUAUCAAUUUGAAUCUAUCACCAAGUGUUUGUGUUUUUGCUUAAUCCAAUCUUACUGCAUUGCAAAUCAAAGUUGUCAAUCUAGAAGUUAAUUGGAUUUCAGUUGUUAAACGUAUUGGUUAGCUAUCAUAUUACUUCACCAUCAAUUCCACUUACUCUUUGGUUUUGAAACACAUACGACCUUUGCAAUAGCGGUCCAGAAUAGACGCAAGUCGAUUCAGAACCGCUUUCGCUCGAGUCUGUAGAAAAAUUUGUAAAAACUUAGUGAGAUCUAUUCACCCCCCCUCUAGAUCUAUAGGCCAGCGUCUAACAAGUGGCAUCAAGAGCUCUGGUUUAUUCCGUGCUACGUGAAACACUUAUUGGAAAGAUGGCUUCUGGACCUAAAGGGGCUCAUAAUAGAGCUCCAGUUUUCAACGGAGAAAACUACGGCUAUUGGAAGGAUUGUAUGUGUGUCCAUAUCAAUGCAAUUGAUAGGAACAUUUGGACAGCUAUUGUCAAUGGUCCAUUUCAGAUCACUAUGACAAAUGCAGCUGGUGCAGUUGUUCCAAAACCAGAAGAUACUUGGAAUGCUGAAGAUGAAAAGAAAUAUGCAUACGAUUGGAAAGCGAGAAACAUUCUAAUCUCAGCUCUAGGAGUUGAUGAAUACUAUCGCGUUUCCCAUUGUAGAUCAGCUAAAGCUAUGUGGGACACAUUGCAAGUUGCCCACGAGGGAACGGAUGAUGUCAAACUAGCUAGGAUCAAUACGUUAACUCAAGAGUUCGAACUUUUCCACAUGGAAGAUGGUGAAACCAUCGAAAGCAUGCAGAAAAGAUUCGUUCACCUGAAAAAUCGAUUAAAUUCUCUUGAUAGACCUGUUUCCAAUGCAGUUGCUACUAACAAAAUCUUAAGGUGUUUGAACAGGGAAUGGCAGCCCAAAGUUACAGCAAUUAAGGAAGCAAAUGAUCUCAACACUUUAGACAUUACCACUCUCUUUGGUAAACUAGAGGAACAUGAACAGCAUCUUAAAUGCCUUGACAUGCAUGAGAAGAGGACAAAGAAAGAAAAGAACAUGGAAAAAGAGGUAGAGAAGAAGUCAAUAGCUCUAAAAGCUUCGAGCUCCAAGACCUCAAAACGAGAGCCAAAGGAUAGUGACACAAGUGAUGACGAAGACUCCGAUGAUGAGGAAAUGGGACUGUUUGUGCGAAGAUACAACAAAUAUCUAAAGAAAAAUGGAGCAAAACAUUCCGACAAAGGAUUGAUCAACUAUAGAAAGCAAUCAAACAUGUUCAAACAAGAUGACGACAACAAAGGAAAGAUCAAAGGUCUUUGCUUCAAUUGUGGGAAAGCCGAUCACUACAAACCGGAUUGUCCAUACCUUAAGAAAGAAAAGGAGAAGAACCAAAGCAAAGGUCAUAACAAAUCUAAAAGAGCUUACAUAGCAUGGGAAAGUGAUUCAUCUAGUGAAAGCUCGUCAAGCGAUGAAGAAGAAUCAGCAAACCUAUGUUUCAUGGCUCAUCAAAACAAGAAAAAGAAAGCUGUAAGUCAUCUUAAACCUGAACUCGUAGAUAAGGUAUCUCAUUCUCAACUAAAACUUGCUUUUGAAGAAUUACAUAGAGAUGCAAUUAAAGCUUUCAAACUUUUGGCCUCAAAUAAGAAAAUAUUUUCAUAUCUUGAAUCAAAAGUUGAGAAAACCGAAAGGGAUAUGGAAGCUUUAAAACAAUCUAUGCUAGACAUUCAAAAGGACAAAGUUGAAUUAGAUCCUACAUCAUGGUUUGGCUGUGAGACAUGUCACAUUUGGCAAAAAGAAGUGAGAGAUCUAAAAGCCAAGUUAGACAAGGCUCUACAACCAAAAGUGACUUUUGCGGUUGAUCCAAACAAGUUCAAAAGAUCGUAUACUCCUUUAUAUAGUAAAUACACUUUUGUACCAAAAGUAUCAACUAGCAAAACUCCAUAUUCUCAUCAUAUUACCUGUCAUUAUUGUUGCAAAAAGGGACAUACCAUUGAAAAAUGCAAAUUUAGGAGAAUUUUAGUUCCUAAAGGAGUAUUUCAAUGGUUGCCUAAGUGCAACAAAUUGUGUACUCACCAUCCAGGACCCAAUGAAGAUUGGGGACCUUCUACUCUAAUUUAAUCUCGCAGGAAAAGUGUCUUGACAUCGCCGAACGGUGGUAGUUCCUUGACAGCUGGUGCUCAAGACACACAUAGGUAGACAUACCAAUUUUGAUAUGUCAUCUAUGAAGACAGUUUGAAGAAUCGAUACUAGACAAGUUUUUCGCAAAAGUCAACCUGUGAAACAUUCCAUCAAAUCAAUUCAUUAUCAAAUCUAGGAGUAUGGCACACUGACAAGAAGACUCCACACAAUGAUGACAAAACACCUACAUAUUGAGAAAGCGGUAACAUGUUUAUUGUUCACUUCCAAAAAUUUUAUUGAUGCUAUAAUAUGCUAUCAAUUAACAUGCUUAUAGUGACAUCAUGUGCUCUUAUCUACUCUUCUCAAAUACUUAUGUAUAUUUGUUCAUCAGUUCAUUCAUAACAUACAAUGGUUGUGCAUUCAAGCAAAUGUCAAAACAAAAAUACAUCAUAUAGAAACAUUUCUAAGGCAUUUUCAUCAUUGAAAGAAACUUAGGUCGACCUACCCUGUAUUUGAGUCGACCUACAUAAGAAGCUUUUUUAGAAAAACCAAAAAGGUCCAGUUGCGUCGACCUACUCACAAUUUAGGUCGACCUAAUUUGGUCAUUUGUUGUUACUACUUCUGUUAGGUCGACCCAGCUUCACUUUAGGUCGACCUACUGCGUAAAUUUUUUUUUUAUUUGGGUCUGUUAGGUCGACCCGACCCAAUAACAUUCAUUCAAAACACUCCAUUCUUGCAUUCCCUCUCAUUCUCAUCUCUUUUGGUACGGCUAACCCUAAUUCCUCAAACUCAAAACUAUCAAAAAUCCUCCCUCUCUCACUCAAAGCAUCUCCAACCAUGCCUCCAAAAUCAAGAAAAGGAAAGGAAAUUGCUUCCAGUUCAUCAUCUCAACCGGUAAGUGCUCUUGUUCAUCCUGAUUGUAGAGAAAACUUUGAGAAGUGGCAGAUGCAAAGGAAAAUUGUUAAGCAAUACACUUAUGAUCCAAAUCUUGUCGAAAACAUGCAUAUCCCUGAUGUCGCUGCGUUAAUUGAACAUCAAAAUAUUCAUCCCUUAUUGCAAUGUGAUACCCCGUACUGUGAAAAUACCGUUAGGGCUUUCUAUGCAGGAUUUACGAAAGGAGACGGUUGUAACUUCCGUUUCAAAAUGGGAUCUAGAUCGCAUGUUGUUGACAAACGGGUCUGGAUUAGUAUCUUUGGUCUGACAAUCGUUGGUGAUGAACUCCGUAUGGUAGACGGGGAUGUACCGGGAAACUAUGAUCAUGAGGCCUACAUGAAGUCAAUCCUCAAAGAUCCUUCCGUAUUUGACAGAUCAAAUGAAACAAUAACAGCUGGUCAUUUAAAGCGAGAUCCUAGGCUCUUGAACUGGGUAAUCUCAAGAAUCAUUCGACCAAGGGCUGGAGGAUAUUCGAGAAUUGAAAGAAAUGAAGUGGUGCUCAUGUAUCUGCUGCAAAACAGAACGCGUUUACACUGGCCUCACUUCCUUGCUGCUAAGUUUCAUGAGGUCAAACAGAAAACUACAGCCCUAUGUUAUGGUUCAAUCAUUCAAACAAUUGUCAAUCACUUUGGUAUGCGACUUGAUCACUUACACUACACUCGCGUACAUCAAUCCCAGGAAUUCUCACAAACCACCUUGACUCUUAUGGGAUAUCAUUGGAAUCCUGUGAGGAAAACAUAUUAUCUCAUUCAAAAAGGAACAGGGAAAGUUAUCUACAACUAUGAUGAUCCUACGGAGUUUGGAAACAAUGUAGGAAAUGAGGAAGAAGGAAACGAUUAAGAAAUAGCAAAUGAGGAGGAUCAAACCAUGGAAGACAUAGCUCAUGACACAGAUCCAAAUUGGCAAUAUGUUCCGUCUCAACAGGAAGAAGUUCCUUGGGGAUACACUGCUCCACCUCCUCCUGAUCAAUCUAACAUAAUAUCUAUGCUUGAAGCUAUGCAACUUCAACAAAAGCAGAACUUUGAAACUCAACAGCUUCAAUUUCAAACAAUGCAGCAGCUUCAACAAGAUAGAUAUGAGGAACAACAACGGCAAUACCAAUCUCUGUACGGCUUGGUUCAGGAACAAAGGAACGAUUUUGAGACGUUUGCAUCCAACUCCAUAUUGAGGCAGAAUCAGUUUGAGGAAACGGCAUUGCAUCGUCAUGCUAACAUCAGCCAAAGCUUCAACACUCUUAACAUGUCUGUGCUGGAUUUGUUGGAACAGGUUGAAGAAGAUCGACCUCAUACAUUUCAAAGAGGAAGAGGAAGAAGGGGCAGGCGUUAGGACAUAUCGUUUAUCAUAUCAUCAUUUCAUUGCAUUUCAUGCCAUUAAGUCCUUUUUUGUUUGUUUUGUUGUUAAAAACAUUAUAUGAUGUAGCACUCUAUGUUCUCUUUUAUAAUUCUCUUGAACUACUAUGUAUGUUGUUAGCUUGCUUUAAAACAUGAUUAGCUCUUAUGAUUUCACCAUUUACAUGUUAUCUAUCUCUAUGACUACCGGUGUUCUUUAUUUUUCUUGUUUCUCUCCUACUCUGCUCUCUGUGUUUCUCUUUUUGAUGUUGUCAAAGGGGGAGAUAGAUACAAUAGAUGCUGAGUGUACGGGGGAGCCUUGGUGAGAGAUUGCCCUGUUGAGAGAUAGAUGCUGGAUGUACGGGGGAGCUCUGUUGAGUCCUUGUCAGCUUUUGACUAUUGGUUUGCCAUCAUCAAAAAGGGGGAGUAUGUGAAUACAAGAUUACACUCAAAGAGGUUUUUGAUUUAUGGCAAACUCAAAUGAGCAUUCAAACAACAAGGAGGAAUCAGAAAAGCAAAGCAUUUGAUCACUCAUGAAAGCACAAGGUGAUCCACUAUGCAUAUAAGUCGACUCAACACAAGCUGGACAUGAAAAAUGCAGAAAAUCAGCAGUUAGGUCGACCUACUGUCAAUCUAGGUCGACCUAAAAUGAAGGAAAAUCCAUAUACCUCUGCUAGGUCGACUCACAGACCAUUUAGGUCGACUCAAAAUGAAGAAAUCUUCAUAUCAGUCUGCUAGGUCGACCUACAUGGCAACUAGGUCGACCUAAUCUGUGAAAAUGUCCCCAGAAUGCAUCAGAAGAGGAUUCUGGUCGACCUACUCCUUCAACAGGUCGACCUAACUGGGAGCAAAAUUCUGCAAGCUCUGUUAGGUCGACCUAAGCACUACAAGUGGUCGACCUAACUGAUCAAGAAAGUUCAAAAAUCAGUUUUUCUUGAUUCUAACUGUUAUGAAAUCAUAUAUAUUGUACAAGGGUAAUUAUUCAAGCAACACCAACGACUGAAAGAUACACAAACGCUUCUCAUCUUCGUUCUUCAUCAUCUCCAACACAAUUACACAUAAUCAUUCUUGCGUUGCGGGUUAGUGAUGAGUUCGAUAACGUCCAUGGAACGGAAUUGAAGAUUCCUAGUGGGUGAAGGUUUGUGGGGUUUGUUGGUGAAUAAAAUCUGCGGGUUUUGUCCUCCACGACGGGUGGUUCUUGGGGGUUUUUAUCAAGAGGCGUUCAUUGAGGAUUCGGCUGAGUGUAACGAUUGAGGAACGGGGAGUUCAAGGAAUCAAGACACUGCAGAAGGGAAUCAAAGUGAAGCUCUUGGAUAACCUUGAUCUGGCUCAAGAUUAAGGGGGAAGAAGAUUCAAAGGAUCGACAUAAUUGGUUUAUCGUUUAUCGCUUUGUUAUCUUCUUUGUAUAUACUACUUUCAACAUUAAUGAAAGAUUACCCAAUUUCAAUUUGGAAUUGGGGGCAGACGUAGUCGUAGCGAGGACGAUCGACGAACUGCCUAAACAAAUAUCGUGUUCUUGUCGCUUUUACUUUCUCUUUUACUUUCUGUUCAUAAUUGGUUAUAAGUGCAAAAUUGAUCAACGAUUCAAGUGUUAAAAUUGUGAAUUAAAGUUCUGCACAAACAUCACAAUUCACCACAACUUGAAUCACUAUCAAUUUGAAUCUAUCACCAAGUGUUUGUGUUUUUGCUUAAUCCAAUCUUACUGCAUUGCAAAUCAAAGUUGUCAAUCUAGAAGUUAAUUGGAUUUCAGUUGUUAAACGUAUUGGUUAGCUAUCAUAUUACUUCACCAUCAAUUCCACUUACUCUUUGGUUUUGAAACACAUACGACCUUUGCAAUAGCGGUCCAGAAUAGACGCAAGUCGAUUCAGAACCGCUUUCGCUCGAGUCUGUAGAAAAAUUUGUAAAAACUUAGUGAGAUCUAUUCACCCCCCCUCUAGAUCUAUAGGCCAGCGUCUAACAAGUGGCAUCAAGAGCUCUGGUUUAUUCCGUGCUACGUGAAACACUUAUUGGAAAGAUGGCUUCUGGACCUAAAGGGGCUCAUAAUAGAGCUCCAGUUUUCAACGGAGAAAACUACGGCUAUUGGAAGGAUUGUAUGUGUGUCCAUAUCAAUGCAAUUGAUAGGAACAUUUGGACAGCUAUUGUCAAUGGUCCAUUUCAGAUCACUAUGACAAAUGCAGCUGGUGCAGUUGUUCCAAAACCAGAAGAUACUUGGAAUGCUGAAGAUGAAAAGAAAUAUGCAUACGAUUGGAAAGCGAGAAACAUUCUAAUCUCAGCUCUAGGAGUUGAUGAAUACUAUCGCGUUUCCCAUUGUAGAUCAGCUAAAGCUAUGUGGGACACAUUGCAAGUUGCCCACGAGGGAACGGAUGAUGUCAAACUAGCUAGGAUCAAUACGUUAACUCAAGAGUUCGAACUUUUCCACAUGGAAGAUGGUGAAACCAUCGAAAGCAUGCAGAAAAGAUUCGUUCACCUGAAAAAUCGAUUAAAUUCUCUUGAUAGACCUGUUUCCAAUGCAGUUGCUACUAACAAAAUCUUAAGGUGUUUGAACAGGGAAUGGCAGCCCAAAGUUACAGCAAUUAAGGAAGCAAAUGAUCUCAACACUUUAGACAUUACCACUCUCUUUGGUAAACUAGAGGAACAUGAACAGCAUCUUAAAUGCCUUGACAUGCAUGAGAAGAGGACAAAGAAAGAAAAGAACAUGGAAAAAGAGGUAGAGAAGAAGUCAAUAGCUCUAAAAGCUUCGAGCUCCAAGACCUCAAAACGAGAGCCAAAGGAUAGUGACACAAGUGAUGACGAAGACUCCGAUGAUGAGGAAAUGGGACUGUUUGUGCGAAGAUACAACAAAUAUCUAAAGAAAAAUGGAGCAAAACAUUCCGACAAAGGAUUGAUCAACUAUAGAAAGCAAUCAAACAUGUUCAAACAAGAUGACGACAACAAAGGAAAGAUCAAAGGUCUUUGCUUCAAUUGUGGGAAAGCCGGUCACUACAAACCGGAUUGUCCAUACCUUAAGAAAGAAAAGGAGAAGAACCAAAGCAAAGGUCAUAACAAAUCUAAAAGAGCUUACAUAGCAUGGGAAAGUGAUUCAUCUAGUGAAAGCUCGUCAAGCGAUGAAGAAGAAUCAGCAAACCUAUGUUUCAUGGCUCAUCAAAACAAGAAAAAGAAAGCUGUAAGUCAUCUUAAACCUGAACUCGUAGAUAAGGUAUCUCAUUCUCAACUAAAACUUGCUUUUGAAGAAUUACAUAGAGAUGCAAUUAAAGCUUUCAAACUUUUGGCCUCAAAUAAGAAAAUAUUUUCAUAUCUUGAAUCAAAAGUUGAGAAAACCGAAAGGGAUAUGGAAGCUUUAAAACAAUCUAUGCUAGACAUUCAAAAGGACAAAGUUGAAUUAGAUCCUACAUCAUGGUUUGGCUGUGAGACAUGUCACAUUUGGCAAAAAGAAGUGAGAGAUCUAAAAGCCAAGUUAGACAAGGCUCUACAACCAAAAGUGACUUUUGCGGUUGAUCCAAACAAGUUCAAAAGAUCGUAUACUCCUUUAUAUAGUAAAUACACUUUUGUACCAAAAGUAUCAACUAGCAAAACUCCAUAUUCUCAUCAUAUUACCUGUCAUUAUUGUUGCAAAAAGGGACAUACCAUUGAAAAAUGCAAAUUUAGGAGAAUUUUAGUUCCUAAAGGAGUAUUUCAAUGGUUGCCUAAGUGCAACAAAUUGUGUACUCACCAUCCAGGACCCAAUGAAGAUUGGGGACCUUCUACUCUAAUUUAAUCUCGCAGGAAAAGUGUCUUGACAUCGCCGAACGGUGGUAGUUCCUUGACAGCUGGUGCUCAAGACACACAUAGGUAGACAUACCAAUUUUGAUAUGUCAUCUAUGAAGACAGUUUGAAGAAUCGAUACUAGACAAGUUUUUCGCAAAAGUCAACCUGUGAAACAUUCCAUCAAAUCAAUUCAUUAUCAAAUCUAGGAGUAUGGCACACUGACAAGAAGACUCCACACAAUGAUGACAAAACACCUACAUAUUGAGAAAGCGAUACACGAGGACUUAUUCUAAUCAAAUGACAUUUGCAACAAUAAAGGGCUCGGGACAUACAGGACCUGAAUACACUCCUGAGCAAGGUUUUCUCAUGUUUUCUAAAUGGAUAUCUAAUACACCUUUGUAAUCCACGCUUAAGAUGGCUAUGUUCAUUUGUUAAUGAUUUCAUUUUAUAUAAAAAAUUGCAAUAUUUGAACA